rnacentral:lncRNA from 1 species
AAAAACUACACCAUCGUCGAAGGAAAGUAAAACUCCUGACAAUGCACCCCAAAAUCCUUGUUAGUGCCUAUACCUAAAUCAACAUCCCCAAGAUCGACACCAAAUUUUGCUCAAUUUCAAGUUCAACCAGGUGUUUUUUUCCCUUUUUGAUUUUAUUUGUUUUAUGUUUAUUUCGAUGUGAUUAAAUGCAGUGUUUGUUAUCCCUAUGAAUGAGAUUUUAUGCUAGUUUAUUUAGUUAUAUUGGAAGUAUUUAAUAAUUUUUGAAGUAAAAUGAUAUAAUUUUGGGUCUUUUCGAUUCAAAAAAUGAAAGUAUAAAUGAAAAAUUGGUUUGAAAAAAAAUGAGAAAAAGCUAUUCUUCUAAGGUUUUAGUGGUUAGUGUCUCUAUUGGUAGUUUGUUUUUCAAAUGAAUUAAUCUGAUCGUGUUAAUAAAGCGUUUGUAUAACUUUUAUUUUCAAUUUAUAGAGGGUAAUCUUUGAUUGGCACCGGAAUCCAUAUUUUAGUUGCAACUCAUGCACAAGUGUGCUCCUAACAUGGAAUAAUUGUUGUUCUUGUUGGCGAUUAUUGGGACAUAUGCUUCAAGAUAAAGUAAUAUGGUUUGAAAGGACUGUUUGCAAUGAAAAUUCUUUAGAAUUUUAUAUACUUUUUUCGCGUACUUGUAGAUAAUGCAUUUUGAAAUUAUAAAUUUCAUCAUAUCGACGAAUGCAAAAAUAAUUUGUGCUUAGAAGGAUACACGGAUACUAAUUGGGGUCAAAUCCUAUAAGAGAACAAAUCAAAUUCGGGAUAUUUAUUCUUGCUUAAUAAUGAUGCCAUCUCUUGGAAUAGUAAGAAAUAGACAUGCGUUUCCUUGUCUACAAUGAAACAGAAUUUGUAGCAUAUGCUUCAAUUGCACAAGAAGCAUUUUUGGUUAAAGAGAUUCUUACAGCAUCUAAGAGUCUUUAACAGUGAUAUGGGACAUAUAUUAAUUUAUUGUGAUAGUUAGGUAGUUAUUGUAUACACAAAAGCUCCCAAGUAUUACAGCAAAAUCAUAUACAUUAAUACAAAAUAUAAUUUUGUAAAAGACAUUAUAGGUAAAAAGGAAGUGAGUUUGCAUUGUAUUUCUAUGCACCAAAAGAUAGUUGAUCCAUUUACAAAACCUAUUCCAAACGGUGUUUUUAUUACUCAUGUUAAAUCUCUAGAAUUGCGUAUAUGUACCAUGUAAACUUUUCAUAUAAGUCCAUUAAUGAACAAUGCUUUGAGUUCAUUUAUUAAAGGUAAUCUCUUGUUGUGAUUUUUUUUAAUUAUUGUUUAAUAUGCACACAUAAAAGUAUAUCAAACAGGUUGAAAUUGUUCACUCACACGAACAAUCACUUUAGACACUUUAGUGUGUGCUGUGAUGAGACAUGACGAUCAUGUUGUGUACAUGAUCCAGUCACCUUGACGAGUAUUAAGAUGAAAUUACAAGUUAUGGAAAUGGAUUUUGCUAUCUAUUAAAUCUGUCCCAAAGCCAGAUUGAGUUCUUAUUUAAGAUUGUGUAGAGAAAUAAAUAUAAGAAAAACUCAGGUUAGAUAUCGAGGAAUAUCUGAACUAUAAUCUGUAUAGUGUAUUUAAUAUGUAAGAAAAGACAUCAGCCCUAAGAAAUGGAGAAAACACCAAAACUUCUGUUUCAUACCGUGUGUAGUUUAACAACUAAUGAGAAAUGAAAGAAUUGAUCCCUAUUUAUUCAUUGAGCUAGUUUUCGAGGCACUUGUAACAUCAAUUUUAUACUCUUAUGACUUUUGAUUGUUUUUCAAAAUUUUAUUUUGGUGUUGCUACUUUAGCACGUUACCAAUAACGAUGUUUGAUUCAAUUUGACGGGAAAUGUCUAGAAAAGUAGCUAAUUUUGAAAUUAAGGGAUUCAAGUAGGAAACGAAAACUAUUUUAUCAAACACCUCAGCUUAUAUUCACCGGUCAGACAAUUGUGUUAACUAUUUGAAUUUUACGACACAAUUGUGAAUACAAAAUAUAUGAAAAAGUUGAGUAUGUUCUUUAGUUUAUUAAGGGGUUAGAAAUACUCGAACUAGUGUUACAAAAUAUGUCUGAGGUGUAACGAGAAAAUAUAUUUCUUCUUAUAGAGCUGCUAUAUAUCCCUAACAGGUGUACAAUGUUGCCUGCUCUUAAAUUAACUUGUUGAUCGUACGAUCCAUUUAGCUGUAUGAACUUGAAAAUAUUGGAAUAAAUAUAAUCGAUAUUAUAUUAGAAUCAAGUUAAGCCCAUCAUGUGCAAGUGAGAGAUAUUGAAAGAAAAUUGAUCGCACAUGUGAGCUGACUCGACCUGAAUUGCAUGAGAACAAAUGGAGUGAGAAGUUGAGUUAUGAAUUUGAAAAUUAACCUUCCCUCCACAAAUAACUCCCAUGCAACUUCCAUUACUACACAAUUAUGAAAAGAAAACCAAAAGGAUACAUGCAAAAUUCGGGUUUCUAAAUAGAGAGAAAAAUACAUGAGUGCGGUAGAAGACAAGCAAACAAAAGACAAGUGAUUCAACCUUGUUGUGAUGAUUUCAAGUAAGUUUUACAAUUUAGAAUUUCAUUAAAAGCAUACAAGCACAUUUUACAAAUGUCAUACAAGAUUUCGGCAAGAUUGGCGUUAUUUUCACGAUUUUACAUAUUCAUCACACGCUAAAUCCAUUACUAUUAAAAUAUUAAAAAUUUAAAAAUUUACUAUUUUCAUCUACGCCACAUUACAAUAUUGUCUUUAUUAAAUUCAUUCCUUAAACACUAUAAAUCCACACAAAUUUUAUAUAUUCAUCCCACUCUAAGCUCCUGUUUGGCCCCCAUUUUUGGUAAUGAAAAUGGGAGGAAUAGUGUUUUGUUGAAAAAAUGAGUGGUUGAAAAAGAAGGAAAAUUUUUCGAUUUACGUGUAAUAUUAUUUUAUGAAAAAUUGUGUGGUUGAAAAUAGAAGAGAGAAAAAUAAAAUGUAAUGGAAUGUAAUUUAAUGGGGGUCAAACAUGGGCUAAAUAUAUCUCUAAUACAAUUUGAAUUUUUUUUUUUUUGUUUUUUGUUUUUUUUNNNNNNNNNNNNNNNNNNNNNNNNNNNNNNNNNNNNNNNNNNNNNNNNNNNNNNNNNNNNNNNNNNNNNNNNNNNNNNNNNNNNNNNNNNNNUUUUCUUUUGGGUGAAACUCCACCGAUUUUAGUGCAGAUGAUGCAACCUGCGGUAAACCAGUGUGGAGGCCUCACUUGUGUUUGAUAAGUCAUGAUUCGUGGAGUGACUCUGACUUUUUCUUUGAUUAGUCAUAGAAGUGAAUAUAUUUUGUGAAUAACAUUUUCACUCAAUAUAUUGUAGUAAA